ACUUAUCACUGCAUAUGUUGUGAUACACCUCUUUUCGAAUCAUCGACAAAGUUGAUAGUGGACCGGCUGGCCGUCGUAUUAUGAACCUGUAGGAAAUAAUGUGCAAUCAAGUUAGAUCUGUCGAUAAUUUUAUGCCUCGAGAAGAAGUUGUUUGUGCUACUUGCAGUGCUCAUCUUGGCCAUGUCUUUGAUGAUGGUCCUCCACCUACGGGGAAAGCGACACUGCAUCAAUAGUGCUUCCCUGAGACUGAAACCCCAGUAAAAGCUUGGAGUUGCGAUUGAGAGCAGAAGAGACACUUGUGGUUCACAAAACUCGAUUACUGUUGGUUUGAUUGGCUUUGGGUAUAUCAUUUUGAGGUAAUAAAUGGCAGAUGGAUCAUAAUCUGCAACGAGUUAUGAAAAUCCUUUAAAAGAACAUAGAAAAUCACUUAGAUAUUGUGUUGAAAACAAAAUUAUUGUUGGAAUAGAGUAUUUUAUUAUAGUAUUUUGACAGACAUUUGAAUCAUCGA